CAGCCCCGCGGUAAUACAGAGGGUGCGAGCGUUAAUCGGAUUUACUGUGCGUAAAGCGUGCGUAGGCGGCUAAUUGAGUCGGAUGUGAAAUCCCCGAGCUUAACUUGGGAAUUGCAUUCGAUACUGGUUAGCUAGAGUGUGGGAGAGGAUGGUAGAAUUCCAGGUGUAGCGGUGAAAUGCGUAGAGAUCUGGAGGAAUACCGAUGGCGAAGGCAGCCAUCUGGCCUAACACUGACGCUGAGGUACGAAAGCAUGGGGAGCAAACAGGAUUAGAUACCCCUGUAGUCCCUGUCUCUUAUACA
rnacentral:rRNA from 1 species